AAUCAACGCUGGCGGCGUGCCUAACACAUGCAAGUCGAACGCGAAAGCCCCGCAAGGGGUAAGUAGAGUGGCGCACGGGUGAGUAACACGUGGAUAACCUGCCUUAGAGUGGGGAAUAACCUUCCGAAAGGGGGGCUAAUACCGCAUAACACCUUUCGACAAAAGUCAAAGGGUUAAAAGGAGCAAUUCGCUCGAAGAGGGGUCCGCGCCUGAUUAGCUAGUUGGUGAGGUAACGGCUCACCAAGGCUUCGAUCAGUAGCCGUCCUGAGAGGGAGCACGGCCACACUGGAACUGAGACACGGUCCAGACUCCUACGGGAGGCAGCAGUGGGGAAUUUUUGGCAAUGGGCGAAAGCCUGACCAAGCAACGCCGCGUGGGUGAUGAAGUAUCUUGGUACGUAAAACCCUUUCGGCAGGGACGAACUCAAUGACGGUACCUGCGGAAGAAGCCCCGGCUAACUCCGUGCCAGCAGCCGCGGUAACAC
rnacentral:rRNA from 1 species